rnacentral:rRNA from 1 species
CACCCCUUUUUCAGUACUGAGAAUCUCUAUAACCCUAUAGAGCCUUUUAUGCUAAAACUAGUAACAAGAGACACCCCUCUCCUUAAUGCAAAUUUAACCCAGUAAGAAUAAAUCACUGGCAAUUAACAGAAUUAAAUAAACGUAGUAACUUCACUAGAAAACCCUACCUAUCUCACUGUUAACCUUACACUAGAGCAUUACAAGAAAGAUUAAAAGAAAAAGAAGGAAUUCAGCAAACUAUAACCCCGCCUGUUUACCAAAAACAUCGCCUCUUGCCUUACAUAAGAGGUCCCGCCUGCCCAGUGACCCUGUUCAACGGCCGCGGUAUCCUAACCGUGCAAAGGUAGCGUAAUCACUUGUCUUUUAAAUAAAGACCAGUAUGAAAGGCACCACGAGGGUUAAACUGUCUCCUUUUUCCAAUCAGUGAACCUAAUCUCCCCGUGAAGAAGCGGAGAUGUCCACAUAAGACGAGAAGACCCUAUGGAGCUUUAAACAUCAUAACACCUGCUAAAUCCAAAAUAUCCCGGUUACUCCUAUACAGCAUGCUGAUUAUAAGUUUUUGGUUGGGGUGACCACGGAGAAUAACUUAUCCUCCACAAUGAAGGGGGAGCUCCCCUAAACAAUAAGUUACAACUUUAUGUAUCAACUAAUUGACAUCCAUUGACCCAACAUUUGAUCAACGAACCAAGUUACCCUAGGGAUAACAGCGCAAUCCACUUUGAGAGCUCCUAUCGACAAGUGGGCUUACGACCUCGAUGUUGGAUCGGGGUAUCCUAGUGGUGCAGCCGCUAC